UAGACAAAAGAAUGAAGAAAACUGGGAAUAAUAACUAUAAAGGACUUUUUCCCCCACAUUACAAAAAUGUAUUUGAAAUAAUUGACUGAAGUGACAAUAAUAUAUUGGGGGUUAAUAACACUUUCUACCCCUUUAUCUAUCUCUAUUCUCUCUUGAAUACCAGUGACCAAGAAUUUACCCUUUUGAUGCUGUCCCAUGAAUCCUGUAAGCUUUCUUCGUUCCUUUACUGUGUAUUUUUUGCCUGUAUAUUUUCAAAUAAUCUGCCUUUGAGUUCAUAGAUUGUUUCUUCUGCUUGAUCAAUUCUGCUGUUGAUAUUCUCUUUUUUAUCUUUCAUUUAGCUCAUUGUAUUUUUCAGCUGUGGGAUUUCUGGGGGUUUUUCAAAUUAUUCUUUCAAUCUCUUAAAUUUCUCAUUCUGGUCAUUUAUUGUUUUUCUUAUGUUGUUG
rnacentral:lncRNA from 1 species